GUGUGUAGCGACGCCCGCGGAAGGCGCUCGACCCGCGGCGCUCGCUGCCCUCCGGGGGCGAGGGCCAGCCUCCCGCCGCGGACACGCGCAGCACUGAGCCGGCCGAGCUCGGCCCCCGCCGCUCCGACAGGUGUUGAGAAUCAACCCAGGUCCCCUGGAAGAGCUGCUAGUGACCCUAACCACUGAGCUAUCUCUCCAGCCCUGCAUUUUCAGAAAACGAAAGGCUAUGGAUUAAUUCAAAGUUAAAGAGGAUCAGGUUUGAUCAGGGGACACCCCCUGAAAAUCCUGGCUACAGACAUUAAAGCAAAACAAAACCUAAAGCAACUACAAGACAGACUGAUCAGAAUGCAAAGGAAAAAGAGAAGAUUCAAGUGGACCAGGAGGAACCACAUGUUAAAGAGCAGCAGCCACAAACACCAGCAGACCUACAUUUCUACUGCGUUUAAAGUAUUGUACAUAUACAGCUCAUUUAACAAUGUAAUAUAAAUUUCUAGUCCUUGAAAGUUACUAUUACAAACUAUUUAGGAUAAUAAGGAAAUACAGGUUAGUAGUUAGUCACCUAUCACAACCAAACUUGUAGUUAUGUAUGUUUUCAAGGUUAAACAGAGAUAUAUUUUAGAUAGACAGGUGGUCUUCAAAAACUUCAGAGAUCUACAGAACGUGGUAUUUAAGAUGUUUUAAUAACAUAAGGCUUUCUAGGGCAAUGAGACAUGUCUGCUCCUAGCAGCACCAAUCUAAUUCAGAGACAAUAAUGGGCAUCAAAGAACCUCCUUAUGGAGUAUGCGUUCUUUGUGGCAAAAGCUAGCCACUAGGCAAAGAAACUGCCCUUGCCUCAGCUGCUGACAGUAUACUGUCCAAAUAGGACAAGCAGGACACAAAGGAAAGUGUCUAUCAAACUUUGCAAAGACAAGGUAGGACAGUCCUUCAAAAUUCCUGCUUCACAGAAAAAUCUAUCAGAUAUCCUAGGCCUGUAGGCUGAAGAUGGAUGCUCCAACAUUUGAGAGGAACCUCAGAUGACUGUCCAGACAGCCAGAUGUUUCUGUCCUUUCUUUAGUUUUGGAAGUUGCCUGCUCUGCACUUCCUGUUUACUUAGGUAGUAUAUCCUUCUGAGAUCUUUGAUAGAGUUGAAGGCUAGAUGGUCAUAAUUUUCCUUAGUUAUGAUAGAAGGUAAAUUGGGUACAGAGCUUUGGACUCAUGAAGAUAGAAUAAAGAAGCCGGGCAAUGGUGGUGCAUGGCUUUAAUCCCAGCACUCAGAAGGUGGAGACAGGUGGAUCUCUGUGAGUUCGAGGCCAGCCUGGUCUGCAGAGCAAGUUCCAGGACAGGCUCCAAAGCUACAGAGAAACCCUGUCUCAAAAAACAACAAAUUAAUUAAUUAAUUAAAGAUAGAAUAAAUAAUGAAGUAUUUUCUCCAAAUAUGCCAAAUAAAAAUAGA